GAUGAAGAACGCAGCGAAAUGCGAUAAGUAAUGUGAAUUGCAGAAUUCAGUGAAUCAUCGAAUCUUUGAACGCACAUUGCGCCCGCCAGUAUUCUGGCGGGCAUGCCUGUUCGAGCGUCAUUUCAACCCUCAAGCACCUUCGGGAGCUUGGUGUUGGGGAUCGGCAGGGCGUCCUCCGGGUCGCGCCGUCCCCCAAAUCUAGUGGCGGUCUCGCUGUAGCUUCCUCUGCGUAGUAAUACACCUCGCUCUGGAGUCUCGGUGCGGCCACGCCGUAAAACCCCCAACUUUUUUCUGGUUGACCUCGAAUCAGGUAGGACUACCCGCUGAACUUAAGCAUAUCAAUAAGCGGAGGA
rnacentral:misc_RNA from 1 species